rnacentral:rRNA from 1 species
AUACGGAGGGUGCAAGCGUUACUCGGAAUCACUGGUCGUAAAGCGCGCGCAGUCGGCUAUUUAAGUUGGAUGUGAAAGCCUACGGCUCAACCUUAGAACUGCAUCCAAAACUAUUUAGCUAGAGUGUGGGAGAGGAAGAUGGAAUUAGUUGUGUAGGGGUAAAAUCCGUAGAGAUAACUAGGAAUACCAAAAGCGAAGGCAAUCUUCUGGAACACUACUGACGCCGAGGCGCGAAAGCGUAGGGAGCAAACAGGAUUAGAAGCCCUAGUAGUCC